GCCUACCUACGGGGCGCAGCAGUGAGGAAUAUUGGUCAAUGGGCGGAAGCCCGAACCAGCCAAGUCGCGUGAGGGAAUAAGGCCCUACGGGUCGUAAACCUCUUUUGCCGGGGAGCAAGGGCCGGGACGCGUCCCGGCCCGGAGAGUACCCGGAGAAAAAGCAUCGGCUAACUCCGUGCCAGCAGCCGCGGUAAUACGGAGGAUGCGAGCGUUAAUCGGAAUUACUGGGCGUAAAGGGUGCGCAGGCGGUUGAGUAAGACAGAUGUGAAA
rnacentral:rRNA from 1 species